rnacentral:rRNA from 1 species
UACGUAGGUGGCAAGCGUUGUCCGGAUUUACUGGGCGUAAAGAGCGCGCAGGCGGUCGUCCAAGUCGCGUGUGAAAGCCCCCGGCUCAACUGGGGAGGGUCACGCGAUACUGGUCGACUCGAAGGCAGGAGAGGGUAGUGGAAUUCCCGGUGUAGUGGUGAAAUGCGUAGAUAUCAGGAGGAACACCCGUAGCGAAGGCGGCACUCUGGGCCGAUACUGACACUGAGGAGCGAAAGCGUGGGGAGCGAACAGG